rnacentral:rRNA from 1 species
AUUGAACGCUGGCGGCAGGCUUAACACAUGCAAGUCGAGCGGAGAGAGGUAGCUUGCUACUGAUCUUAGCGGCGGACGGGUGAGUAAUGCUUAGGAAUCUGCCUAUUAGUGGGGGACAACAUUUCGAAAGGAAUGCUAAUACCGCAUACGUCCUACGGGAGAAAGCAGGGGAUCUUCGGACCUUGCGCUAAUAGAUGAGCCUAAGUCGGAUUAGCUAGUUGGUGGGGUAAAGGCCUACCAAGGCGACGAUCUGUAGCGGGUCUGAGAGGAUGAUCCGCCACACUGGGACUGAGACACGGCCCAAACUCCUACGGGAGGCAGCAGUGGGGAAUAUUGGACAAUGGGCUCAAGCCUGCUCCAGCCAUGCCGCGUGUGUGAAGAAGGCCUUAUGGUUGUAAAGCACUUUAAGCGAGGAGGAGGCUACUUUAGUUAAUACCUAGAGAUAGUGGACGUUACUCGCAGAAUAAGCACCGGCUAACUCUGUGCCAGCAGCCGCCGUAAAAC